AGGAGAACUCCGUCUCCGGGCCUCUUCCUCGAAGUUGCAAACCUGGGUCUGUAUCAGCAGGCAGGGCGGGAGGGGGUGGCUGGACGCCUCACUGCGUGCGCUCCCCGAGGCUGCUGUGACAAUGGUAAGAAGAUGGACCAGUGAACGGGAAACAUGACGUGAGGGGGUCUUACUUUUGCAGCUCGCUGCCCAGGGCUGGUAGCCAUAGUAGCCAGUGAUGCGCAGGAUCCGCUCCUCGAUGGACGUGAGCCCCACCGGCCCGCUGGUGAGAUCCUCCACGGAGCGCGACCAUUUCAGAUCCUCCUUAAUCGCCUCGUCCACCACCAAGUACUUGAGCUGCCGGAGCUGGGGGCUGAUGUCGGACAGUCUCCGGGGGCUGACGUCCGGUGACCUCCUCAUGCCACUGCGGUCGCAGGCGCCACGGGCAGCAAAACUACUUGGAAAGAAAGAAACCUGGUUCCAUGCUCAGCAUGCCAAGUGAAUAAAUGGCGUUUCAUAGGCAACGCUGAGACACAAAAUGUAUUAUCUAUUACGCUGUGGGGAUCUCUCAGUCAGACCUGGUCCUCAGAGAGCUUACUUUCCCACUGAUGAUGCAAUUACGAAAUCAGUUCUCUCUUCAUAGAUUUCCAUUUUAAAAGCUUCUCAUCUUUUUCCUUACCACCCCACUGCCCCCGACGGCCGAAAGGCAUUCUCUUCAGACUACCUAAUCACCUUUCCUAAUAUUAUUUU
ensembl:lncRNA novel transcript, antisense to SLC35F3